AGUUUAAUGUAUUAUAUAUUAAAUAUUUUCUGCUCAAUGAUUAUUUACUAAUUAAAUAGCCGCAGUACCUUGACUGUGCUAAGGUAGCAUAAUAACUUGGCCUAUAAUUGAGGUCUAGGAUGAAAGGAGACACCUAUAAAUAACUGUCUUAUUAAAGCUUAACCCGAAAUUUUUUAUUAGGUGUAAAUACCUAAAUAAAUAUAUUAGACGAGAAGACCCUUAGAGUUUUUAUUACUAUUACUAUAAUAUUUUUGUUGGGGCAACAUAGGAACAAUUAAUCUUCCUUAAUAUGAGCAAUAACAUGCCGAAUUUAUAUUAUGAUUGAUUAUAACUACCUAAGGGAUAACAGCAUUAUCUUUAAUAAGGAUUGUGACCUCGAUGUUGGAUUAGGUAAAUUUGAUAUAAGCAAUAUCAUCUAAAAGUUCUGUUCGAACUCUAGCACCU
rnacentral:rRNA from 1 species